AUUGAACGCUGGCGGCAGGCCUAACACAUGCAAGUCGAGCGAGCGGCGGACGGGUGAGUAAUGUCUGGGAAACUGCCUGAUGGAGGGGGAUAACUACUGGAAACGGUAGCUAAUACCGCAUACCAUCAGAUGUGCCCAGCUGGGAUUAGCUAGUAGGUGGGGUAACGGCUCACCUAGGCGACGAUCCCUAGCUGGUCUGAGAGGAUGACCAGACACACGUGGAAUGCGACACGGGCCAGACGCCGAAGGGGGGGAGCGAGGGGGAAAAUGGGAACAUGGGCGCAAGCCGGAUGCAGCCAUGCCGCGUGUGUGAAGAAGGCCUUCGGGUUGUAAAGCACUUUCAGCGGGGAGGCGUUACCCGCAGAAGAAGCACCGGCUAACUCCGUGCCAGCAGCCGCGGUAAUUC
rnacentral:rRNA from 1 species